rnacentral:lncRNA from 1 species
CAGAUCCCUCCAACGGACAAAUUCCCUCUGGACCCCUCCAACGGUCGACCUUCCACAAUAUCCUCCAGACUCCACCAGCGGACGAACUUCCACAAUACCUUUCGAAUUUCGCUAUCGAUCGACCUUCUGCUGGAUUUCUCAUGCAAUCGAACAUCUCCAACAGACAGUCUUCAGACAAGCUUCUAUAUCAGAUAAAUUCUAAACGGACUUCUCUAGCAAUCGGACUCCAGC